UCCUUGUUAGCUCAGUUGGUAGAGCGUUCGGCUUUUAAACAAUUACGGUUUAAACCAAGGAUACCGAAAUGUCAGGGGUUCGAGCCCCCUAUGAGGAG
rnacentral:tRNA from 1 species